AGGAGUGACGGACGGCGUGAGGGGCGGGGUCUGGGGAUGGAUGUCAGCCAAGGUGGUUGGAAGCGGUUGGAGGCAGUUGAAGAGGGACAGUCUUCUUUAGCUGUUGUCCUGAAGUGAGCACCCAAGAAGAAGCUCUUGGAUUCCCGGGAGAUAAAGGGAUGCUGGGAACUGGGCGGUUACGGCGGUUGGACUCCUGGCUGCGGGUUUGGGCUCCUGGUUGGAAGAUGGACGGAAGGACCAGGACGGCCUCCCCGGUUUCAGUGAGCAUAAGGAUUUGAACUACUGGACCAUGGUGACCCCAUUCCUGGUACCGACAGCCACUUGCCAGGAAGGCUGGGGCUAAUGAACAUUUCCCUGGACACCUAAGGAGGCCUCUACCCUGUCUUCUCUGUGGAAGAUUCCAUGGUCCACUUUGGAGAGCUCUGUCUUCUUGUGUCUGCGAAGCUUUGAUGGAGUAGGAAAGCAUGUGAUCUCCCAGGAGAACUUGAGCAGCGUCUGAACUGCCUUCCACUUUGAGAAGCGUUUUCUUGGAACUUGCCCUUUUGAGGGUGAAGCCUGGCAUGUUUAACCUUGUCUGGUCUCUGACUUGCUUUCCCAUGGCUUUUACCGAGGCUCCGUUGAACACUCGUCACAUACAGGAGCCGACUAUGACUUGCUCUGUCUUUGCAAUAGCAGCAUGAUUUCCUGGUGAUUGUAAGACAUCUCUCCAGUGUCAUUACCCGCCUGGGAAGGUCCCUUGAGAAUCACAUUCACAGCAGUAGUCAGACAUCCUUCUCCAGCCAUGUGAAGGUUUUGUUCUUCCCCACACCAACGCUUGCUUGCUUCCUGUCUUCUUAUACUAUUCUUCCGGUUUAGCAAGAAAUCCACUGGGGUCUGCUUAAAGGGUAAAGGAAUUUAUUAGGAAAGAAAACUCUCUAAACAGAAUAGGAGAAUCGUCAUAGGGUCCUGGAAUGGUGAGGUACUAUCCUCUGCUGCUCCAGCCACCUGAGUCUGUCCGCACCAUCCAAGCCCACGUGGGAGAGUAGAGACCAGGGUACAUGUGUCUCAGGUCUUACGGGUGGCCCAGAGGCCAUUCCCCAGGGGCAGGUACUUCAAGGUCAUAUGUAACAUGAAUUGCUAAAUGGUCUUAAUAGAAAACCUGGAGCCAAAUAUCGAGGUGAAGGCUGAAAGAUCAGAGAAGCAGAACAAGC